GUGAACGCUGGCGGUAGGCCUAACACAUGCAAGUCGAACGGCAGCACAGUAAGAGCUUGCUCUUCCGGGUGGCGAGUGGCGGACGGGUGAGGAAUACAUCGGAAUCUACUUUUUCGUGGGGGAUAACGUAGGGAAACUUACGCUAAUACCGCAUACGACCUACGGGUGAAAGCAGGGGAUCUUCGGACCUUGCGCGAUUGAAUGAGCCGAUGUCGGAUUAGCUAGUUGGCGGGGUAAAGGCCCACCAAGGCGACGAUCCGUAGCUGGUCUGAGAGGAUGAUCAGCCACACUGGAACUGAGACACGGUCCAGACUCCUACGGGAGGCAGCAGUGGGGAAUAUUGGACAAUGGGCGCAAGCCUGAUCCAGCCAUACCGCGUGGGUGAAGAAGGCCUUCGGGUUGUAAAGCCCUUUUGUUGGGAAAGAAAAGCAGCAGGUUAAUACCCCGCUGUUCUGACGGUACCCAAAGAAUAAGCACCGGCUAACUUCGUG
rnacentral:rRNA from 1 species